UACAGAGGGUGCAAGCGUUGUCCGGAAUCACUGGGCGUAAAGGGCGCGUAGGCGGCCUGAUAAGUCGGGGGUGAAAUUCUGCGGCUUAACCGCAGGACGGCCUUCGAGACUGUCGGGCUUGAGCACGGUAGAGGCUGGUGGAAUUCCCGGUGUAGCGGUGGAAUGCGUAGAGAUCGGGAAGAACAUCGGUGGCGAAGGCGGCCAGCUGGGCCGUUGCCGACGCUGAGACGCGAAAGCGUGGGUAGCAAACAGG
rnacentral:rRNA from 1 species